rnacentral:rRNA from 1 species
GUGGGGAAUAUUGGACAAUGGGCGCAAGCCUGAUCCAGCCAUGCCGCGUGAGUGAUGAAGGCCCUAGGGUUGUAAAGCUCUUUCACCGGUGAAGAUAAUGACGGUAACCGGAGAAGAAGCCCCGGCUAACUUCGUGCCAGCAGCCGCGGUAAUACGAAGGGGGCUAGCGUUGUUCGGAAUUACUGGGCGUAAAGCGCACGUAGGCGGACAUUUAAGUCAGGGGUGAAAUCCCGGGGCUCAACCCCGGAACUGCCUUUGAUACUGGGUGUCUCGAGUCCGGAAGAGGUGAGUGGAAUUCCGAGUGUAGAGGUGAAAUUCGUAGAUAUUCGGAGGAACACCAGUGGCGAAGGCGACUCACUGGUCCGGUACUGACGCUGAGGUGCGAAAGCGUGGGGAGCAAACAGGAUUAGAUACCCUUGUAGUCC